CAGGGCAUUCCCCUAGUACGGCGAGUGAACCGGGAAGAGCUCAAAUUUUGAAAUCUGGCGUCCUCAGGGCGUCCGAGUUGUAAUCUAUAGAGGCGUUUUCCGUGCCGGACCGUGUCCAAGUUCCUUGGAACAGGAUAUCAAAGAGGGUGACAAUCCCGUACUUGACACGACGACCGGUGCUCUGUGAUACGUCUUCUACGAGUCGAGUUGUUUGGGAAUGCAGCUCAAAAUGGGUGGUGAGUUCCAUCUAAAGCUAAAUAUUGGCGAGAGACCGAUAGCGAACAAGUACCGUGAGGGAAAGAUGAAAAGCACUUUGGAAAGAGAGUUAAACAGUACGUGAAAUUGUUGAAAGGGAAACGAUUGAAGUCAGUCGUGACCGAGAGGCUCAGCCGGUUCUGCCGGUGUAUUCCCCUCGGUCGGGUCAACAUCAGUUUUGUCCGGUGGAUAAGGGCGGUAGGAAGGUGGCACCCUCGGGUGUGUUAUAGCCUGCCGUCGCAUACAUCGGGUGAGACUGAGGAACGCAGCUCGCCUUUAUGGCCGGGGUUCGCCCACGUCCGAGCUUAGGAUGUUGACAUAAUGGCUUUAAACGACCCGUCUUGAAAACACGGACCAAUGCA
rnacentral:rRNA from 1 species